UGCUCAAAUUGAGCUUGUACUUUGUUAUUCAUUGUGAUUUCAACUUGAAUGUUUGAGUGUUGUUCGAAUUCGGACUAUGCUCUGUCAUUCGUUGGCCCUUAAAACUUGAGGGGGGCAAACCCUAGUUGAUAAUUAUCUAAACUAAAACGUAGCUAUGUUCUGAUUGGCUGGAUUUUUGAGUCACCUAAGCUAUAACCGAGUCUAGGCAGUCUAUGAAUUAGACUGCUUAGCUUACGGACCGUAAGGGGUCCGGCAUACGGUCCGUAAGGGAGACCCAAAAAUUAGUAUAAAUAGCCGACCUUGGGACUUGCACAGAGGAGUUGAAGCGACGUUAUUACCUUCUGUGUACGUCGAAUUAUACUCAAAACAGUCCACAAUUAAACACACACGAUAACGAGGUGCUGCGGCAAUCAGGAUAAUAACUCGGUCACUAUUACGAUUCAACGUCCGAUCGAUUAUAACUAUCCAACGAUUGUCCGAGUGCUGCUCAAAUUGAGCUUGUACUUUGUUAUUCAUUGUGAUUUCAACUUGAAUGUUUGAGUGUUGUUCAAAUUCGGACUAUGCUCUGUCAUUCGUUGUGAAUCCAUUGGAUUAUUAAGUAUCGCACUUGAUAAUAGUUGUGAGGGUUUAAUCUCGUGAAUUGACGUAACUGCUGAAUUAGUUACUAAUCCCGUUUGUGUGUGCAUUGUUAUUUAAAUUAGGUUAGCAGGCUAAUCAGUAAAGCUUAUACUCUGGUUGUAAAUCUGCAAAGUGAGUCAUUCCUCUUUUAUAAACUCUUUUCUCACAGUUUGUGAGUCAUUCUCUUUUUAUCAACUGUUUUACAAAAC
rnacentral:lncRNA from 1 species